rnacentral:misc_RNA from 1 species
GAUGAAGAACGUAGUAAAUGCGAUAAGUAAUGUGAAUUGCAGAAUUCAGUGAAUCAUCGAAUCUUUGAACGCACAUUGCGCCCGCCAGUAUUCUGGCGGGCAUGCCUGUCUGAGCGUCAUUUCAACCCUCAAGCAACUUCUGCUUGGUGUUGGGGAUCGGCCGUCAAACGCCGCCCCCGAAAUCUAUUGGCGAUCUCGCUGUAGCUUCCUAUGCGUAGUAGUAACAUCUCGCAUCUGGAGAGCGGCGCGGUCAUGCCGUAAAACACCCAACUUCUCAGGUUGACCUCAGAUCAGGUAGGAAUACCCGCUGAACUUAAGCAUAUCAAUAAGCGGAGGA